UAGUCUGGGAUACCACUUGGAAACAGGUGCUAAUACCGGAUAAGAAAGCGGAUCGCAUGAUCAGCUUUUAAAAGGCGGCGUAAGCUGUCGCUAUGGGAUGGCCCCGCGGUGCAUUAGCUAGUUGGUAAGGUAAAGGCUUACCAAGGCGAUGAUGCAUAGCCGAGUUGAGAGACUGAUCGGCCACAUUGGGACUGAGACACGGCCCAAACUCCUACGGGAGGCAGCAGGC
rnacentral:rRNA from 1 species